GUGUCAGCAGCCGCGGUAAUACGUAGGGGGCGAGCGUUGUCCGGAAUCAUUGGGCGUAAAGCGCGUGUAGGCGGCCGACCAAGUCCGAUGUGAAAGCUCGGGGCUCAACCCCGAGUCUGCAUUGGAAACUGAUCGGCUAGAGUCCGGAAGAGGAGACUGGAAUUCCUGGUGUAGCGGUGAAAUGCGCAGAUAUCAGGAAGAACACCGGUGGCGAAGGCGGGUCUCUGGGACGGUACUGACGCUGAGACGCGAAAGCGUGGGGAGCAAACAGGAUUAGAUACCCUGGUAGUCC
rnacentral:rRNA from 1 species